ACGUCGUCAUUUGAUUGGCUGAAAAACCGAGGGGGAGGGGGAAGGGUUAUUUGACACGCAUGCUGCACACAAAUUGCUUUAUUCUUGCACUGGUAGUCAAGCGAGCGGGUGUGUCAACGACAACGCAUACAUACAAACCCCUUUUUGUGGUUUGUAGAUCAGCUAGCCACCCAAGAAGAAGAAAGGGGACAUACAAAGCUUUUUCAUGAAGCAGAGUGAAAGACAGCAUCAAACCACUACAGAUGGAUGGCAGGUUGAGGAAACAGCAUCAGGGCUUCAGGUGAGGUUCUAAUUAUUAGCCUAUGUCAAAUUGUCAAUUCAGUUGGAGUCAGCAGCAUUGCUGUACAAUAUAAUGAGAUGGAGUAGAUUCACUUCUGUAUUGUGAUAUUCUGUAUUGCCAACAGUCUGAAAUAACAAAGGAAAUCGCCAUUAAGGCACUGGUAUCUUACAGCAAAAGAAUUACAGUUAAGCAUUAAUAAAGAAAUACAAAUAUAAUUUAGAGUCGCAUAAAUUCAUAGACAUAUUCAAUCCUAAACUAUGGUGCAUUUCCAUACUCAGUAACAUAAAUAAAAUACUAUAU